CAGCAGCGCGGUAAUACGGAGGGUGCAAGCGUUAAUCGGAAUUACUGGGCGUAAAGCGCACGCAGGCGGUCUGACAAGUCAGAUGUGAAAUCCCCGGGCUUAACCUGGGAACUGCAUUUGAAACUGUCAGGCUGGAGUCUUGUAGAGGGGGGUAGAAUUCCAGGUGUAGCGGUGAAAUGCGUAGAGAUCUGGAGGAAUACCGGUGGCGAAGGCGGCCCCCUGGACAAAGACUGACGCUCAGGUGCGAAAGCGUGGGGAGCAAACAGGAUUAGAUACCCGUGUAGUCCCUGUCUCUUAUACA
rnacentral:rRNA from 1 species